rnacentral:tRNA from 1 species
GCACACUUGUCUGAUUGGUUAGGUGGCUGCCUGCAAAGCAGCAUGAGCGCGGUUCGAUUCCGCGAGUGUGCUCCA